rnacentral:rRNA from 1 species
UAAAAACCCCGACUUCGGAAGGGGUGUAUUUAUUAGAUACAAAACCAAUGCCCUUCGGGGCUCUUUGGUGAUUCAUGAUAACUAUACGAAUCGCACGGCCUUGCGCCGGCGAUGGUUCAUUCAAAUUUCUUCCCUAUCAACUUUCGAUGUUUGGGUAUUGGCCAAACAUGGUUGCAACGGGUAACGGAGGGUUAGGGCUCGACCCCGGAGAAGGAGCCUGAGAAACGGCUACUACAUCCAAGGAAGGCAGCAGGCGCGCAAAUUACCCAAUCCCGACUCGGGGAGGUAGUGACAAUAAAUACUGAUACGGGGCCCUUUCGGGCCUUGUAAUUGGAAUGAGUUCAAUUUAAAUCCCUUAUCGAAGAACAAAUGGAGGGCAAGUCAGGUGCCAACAGCCGCGGUAAUAGCUACUCCAAAAGCAUAUAAACAAGAAGUAGCGGAUUGUAGAAGGUAAUAAAAAUAAUAAAUAGAAUGGUAGAAAUUUUUUUUCUUCACGAAAAUUGUAAUAAAUUUAGCAAGAAAACCAAUAAAAUUAAAAAAUGAUAACAAAAAAAAAGAUAUAUAUAUAGGUAAAGG